UGGGGAAUAUUGCACAAUGGGGGAAACCCUGAUGCAGCGACGCCGCGUGAAGGAAGAAGUAUUUCGGUAUGUAAACUUCUAUCAGCAGGGAAGAAAAUGACGGUACCUGACUAAGAAGCCCCGGCUAACUACGUACCAGCAGCCGCGGUAAUACGUAGGGGGCAAGCGUUAUCCGGAUUUACUGGGUGUAAAGGGAGCGUAGGCGGCGAUGCAAGUCAGAAGUGAAAGCCCGGGGCUCAACUCCGGGACUGCUUUUGAAACUGUAUUGCUAGAUUGCAGGAGAGGUAAGUGGAAUUCCUAGUGUAGCGGUGAAAUGCGUAGAUAUUAGGAGGAACACCAGUGGCGAAGGCGGCUUACUGGACUGUAAAUGACGCUGAGGCUCGAAAGCGUGGGGAGCAAACAGGAUUAGAUACCCU
rnacentral:rRNA from 1 species